rnacentral:rRNA from 1 species
UACGGAGGGGGGUUAGCGUUGUUCGGAAUUACUGGGCGUAAAGCGCGCGUAGGCGGAUUAGUCAGUUAGAGGUGAAAUCCCAGGGCUCAACCCUGGAACUGCCUUUAAUACUGCUAGUCUUGAGUUCGAGAGAGGUGAGUGGAAUUCCGAGUGUAGAGGUGAAAUUCGUAGAUAUUCGGAGGAACACCAGUGGCGAAAGGCGGCUCACUGGCUCGAUACUGACGCUGAGGUGACGGAAAAGUGUGGGGAGCAAACAGGAUUAGAUACCCGUGUAGUCC